rnacentral:rRNA from 1 species
UACGUAGGGGGGCAAGCGUUGUCCGGAAUCAUUGGGCGUAAAGAGCUCGUAGGCGGUCUGUUGCGUCCGCUGUGAAAGUCGGGGGGCUCAACCCUCGAAUGCCGGUGGAUACUGUCGGGCUAGAGUGCGGAAGAGGCGAGUGGAAUUCCUGGUGUAGCGGUGAAAUGCGCAGAUAUCAGGAGGAACACCAAUUGCGAAGGCAGCUCGCUGGGACGUUACUGACGCUGAGACGCGAAAGCGUGGGGAGCAAACAGG